GCCUCGGUAGCUCAGCUGGUAGAGCACCGGACUGAAAAUCCGGGUGUCGCUGGUUCAAAUCCAGCCCGAGGCACCA
rnacentral:tRNA from 1 species